UACAGAGGUCUCGAGCGUUGUUCGGAUUCAUUGGGCGUAAAGGGCGCGUAGGCGGCGGGGUAAGUCUGGUGUGAAAUCUCGGAGCUCAACUCCGAAAUUGCACUGGAUACUGCUCUGCUAGAGGGCUGGAGAGGAGAUCGGAAUUCACGGUGUAGCAGUGAAAUGCGUAGAUAUCGCGAGGAAGACCAGUGGCGAAGGCGGAUCUCUGGACAGCUCCUGACGCUGAGGCGCGAAGGCUAGGGGAGCAAACGGG
rnacentral:rRNA from 1 species